rnacentral:rRNA from 1 species
CCUAGGGCGGCAGCAGUGAGGAAUAUUGCACAAUGGGGGGAACCCUGAUGCAGCAACGCCGCGUGGAGGAUGACGCAUUUCGGUGUGUAAACUCCUUUUAUAUGUCAAGAAAAUGACGGUAGCAUAUGAAUAAGCACCGGCUAACUCCGUGCCAGCAGCCGCGGUAAUACGGAGGGUGCAAGCGUUACUCGGAAGCACUGGGCGUAAAGGACGCGUAGGCGGGUUGGAAAGUCAGGUGUGAAAUCCUACAGCUUAACUGUAGAACUGCACUUGAAACUUCUAAUCUAGAGUAUGGGAGGGGGAGAUGGAAUUAGUGGUGUAGGGGUAAAAUCCGUAGAUAUCACUAGGAAUACCUAAAGCGAAGGCGAUCUCCUGGAACAUUACUGACGCUAAGGCGUGAAAGCGUGGGGAGCAAACAGGAUUAGAUACCCCCGUAGUC